GAUAAAAUGAAUCCAAACAGUUCCCAAUCAAUUCCCCUUUCUCUCUUUCUUAUCAUCUUCUCCUCUUGUUUAUUUAUCGUUGCAUAUGGAAAUUUAACGAACUAAUAAUAAAAAGAGAAACAAUUUUGUAAUAAAAAGAAAGAAUAAUUUGUUGGAAUGAAAACCUUGGAAAGACUUCCAUUAGGGUUUUUAUCGUCUCUACAAUCCUCUUGGACGGCAAUUUGGUAGAAAGGAAAAAAACAAGGUUGAGGUUUGAGGUUCUUGGAAUUUGGGGCUUUCUGUUGAGUUGCAUAUAUAUUGUUUUAGGGUAAAAAGUGAGGGAUAAUGUGCAUCCUUUGUGUCAUUCAGAAAUGUUCUAGGAGGGUUGCUAUAAUGCUUCCAUGGUUAAUAAUUCCCCUCGUUGGUCUUUGGGCACUUUCUCAGUUGUUGCCACCUGGUUUUAGGUUUGAGAUUACGUCUCCUAGACUAGCUUGUCUAAUGGUAUUAUUAGUUACUCUUUUCUGGUAUGAGGUUUUAAUGCCAAAGCUAUCAUCCUGGAGGAUACGCAGGAGUGCUUGGCUCAGAGAGAGAAAGAGGGUUCAAGCUAUAGAGUUACAGAAGCUAAGGAAGAUGGCAGUGAGACGAUGCAGGAAUUGUUUGACUGCAUAUCGUGAUCAGAACCCAGGUGGAGGGGGAAAGUUUAUGUGUUCAUACUGUGGUCAUAUAUCCAAAAGACCAGUUCUUGAUAUUCCUGGCUCUGCUGACUUGGAUGCUAAGAAGUCUGGGUUUGUGGGGGAUUUGGUGGGUAAGAGUGGCAAAAUAUGGAAUGAAAAGGUUUGGUCAGAGCAUGGUUGGAUUUGUAGUAAUGAUUGGUUAGACAAUGGGAACUGGGUUCCUGGGUCUUUCACCGAGAAUAGUAUCUGGGUAAAGAAUGGUGGUAAGCUAUACAGUGGUAAAGAUCUUUGUUUUGCAGACAAAUCAUACUCGGUCGUUGUUGUUUUUUUCGUCAAGGUUUUGUUCUCUUUCUUUUUUAGUGUAAGGUGGUUGUGGAGGAAAUUUUUUAAAGUAUCCUCAAGUGAAGAUGGUUCAUCAGAUGCAGAGCAUAUGGGGAUGUCUAAAAAGGGGGGAAAUGGAGUUAAUAUGUAUGAGAGUAAAGUUGAGAAAGCUCGUAGGAAAGCUGAAGAAAAGAGACAUGCUAGGUUAGAGAGGGAGCUUUUAGAGGAGGAAGAACGGAAGCAACGAGAGGAUGUUGCAAAAUUAGUGGAAGAAAGGAGGAGACUGAGGGAUGAAGAAAUGGAGGCAGAAAAACUGCAGGUUAGAGGCUCAGCUAAUGGCAAGGAAAAAGAUAGUAAGAGAGAAGCAGAAAAGAAGCGUCAAGAAAGAAGGAAGGAUAAAGAUAAAGGGUCUAGUAAGAGUAGCUCUGACUGCGAGGAGAUUGACCGCAGAGCUGGCAAGGAAAUGGAUAGGAAACGUGAGCUUGACAAGAGGAGUGAAAUUGAGAGGCGGGAUCAGCAGAAAGCCGCCACCACUCAGAUCUCCGAAUCGAGGCAUGGUAUAAAAGUAUCAACUGCAAACGUCACCAAGGGAACUGGUACUAGAUACCUGGAGCGUGUAAGGGGAUCCCUAAUUUCUUCUUCUAAAGCUUUAAAUGGCACUAGUUUUUUUGGAAAGGGCACUCGUAUGAACCAAACUUCUGCAACAAAUAUUUCAAAAGCAAACAAGCUUAAUGGUUUUGUGGAUCAUGCCCAAGGCUCUGCGAACCAGAGAGAUAUGAGCAGCAGUACACAUGCACCUGUAAUAGUCAACUCAAAUGGAGAUAAUAAUGCCAUUGGAGCCAGUUCUCAUCGACCUGGUGGUUCAGAGAUGCAGUCACAAACCGUGAAAAAGUCAUGGCAACAGUUAUUCACUCGUUCUCCAGGCAUGCCUAAUAUGAGCCCCCAAAUAGAAGGUCAAAGGCCGAACUUUCAUCGUCAGUCGCUGCAAAUGCAUUCUUUCGAGAAUCAGCUUGGUUCAAACCUAGCAUUGCCUUCACACGUGUCUUUAUCCCCAAAUGGUUCUAAAAGUAGCAAUUCUUAUUCUUCUUUAGCAGCUAAACCAAUUUUUCCUGUUGCUGGAGAACCACCUUACAGUUUGGCUCAAGAGGAGAGCGAAAUUUUCGAAGACCCUUGUUAUGUUCCUGAUCCAGCAGCUUUACUUGGUCCAGUCUCAGAAUCGCUUGAUCAUUUUUCAUAUGACCUUGGCACAGGGUUCAUGAGAAACAGUCUGCCCCAAAAUUCCAUGCCUUUAAAGCAUGUAAUUACAUCCAUGGAAGUUAGUAAGCCCUCUCCAAUAGAGCCUCCUAUGUCGCGGUUACACGGCAUAGAAGUGAGGCUUACAAACUCAUUCCCCUGCAGCCCGAAGACCCCGGAACGGAACUCCUCGCCUCUGAAUGAAUCGAACAGUGGAACAUGGCAGAUGUGGGGCACCUCACCACUUGUUCAGGAUGGCCUUGGUUUUGUAGGGGGUUCGUCGAGCUGGCUUUCACCAAUAGGGCAAAAUUCCAAGAAUAUGACAUCAAAGUUUGUAGUGGACAACCAAGUCCCUCCUGGGAACCAUUUUCAGCGAGGUGUUCAACCUGGUAGUUGCUUAACUGGUUGGACAUUUAGUCCUAUCUGUGCUGGUUUGUAUGAGAACGAUCCGUGGCUACCAAAUCCGAUCUCCCCACCACUGUCGGGCGUUAGAGAAUGCUAUUCCGUACCAGUUUCUCCUCCACCCGAUAUAUCCCAGAGUGAGUUGAUUUAUGGCAGUUCAAGCAGAUCAGCCACCAGACAACCAUUCGAACCAUCCCCUGUCAUUCGCUGGCCCAAAAAUGGAUAGGCAAGAAAGCAAUUUGGCUAGGGAAUGCCACGUUAUGGAUUAUAAAGAUGAUAACAAUUACUAGGAAGAUCCUUCAUAGAUUUGGUUAACUCAUCGACAUUAAGGAUACUGUGCCAAAGUCACUCUGAGAAGAGAAGGAAGGACUCCUCUGUGCAUGGGUUAGAAGAUGGCAUCACAGACCCAACCAUGGGAAGGCCUCAUAUUGGGGGCCUAUUUUCUACACCAGAUGUACAGUCAGUUUGGUCAUAUAACUGAAUAAAGUACAAAAUUAAAAACAAAAGAAAAGCAGUGGACGUUUUUAAACCCCGAUUACUCUCCAUCAAUUUGAGCAAUCCAAGUCGGAGAUUAUUUGAAAAAUUUAAUCAAACAGUAUUCACUUUAGCAUAGAUAAAUAGGUCAACGGAUAUGGAUAGAGAGAUGGCUUUUGAGAGCUUGUGCAUCCUUUACAGGUAAGUAACUCAUUCUUGGGUCUAUUUCCCUGAUAAAUUGUACUUUCUUGAGGCAGUUCAUCAAGAUACAGUAUUACCAUCUUUCAAUUUCGAAACCUCGUUUCUUUCGUUGAUGUUGUUCAGAAUAUAAACACAUGACUUAUCACAGGAACCUAAAAGAAAUAAACUCAUCACAUGACCUUUUCUUUGUGUCU